rnacentral:rRNA from 1 species
AUUGAACGCUGGCGGCAGGCCUAACACAUGCAAGUCGAGCGAGGGGCGGACGGGUGAGUCAUAUCUGGGAAACUGCCUGAUGGAGAGGGAUACCUCCAGGACACGGUAGCUAAACCCGCAUACCAUCAGAUGUUGCCAGUGGGGAGUAGCUGGUCGGUGGGGUAAUGGCUCACAUAGGCGACGAUCCCUAGCUGGUCUGAGAGGAUGACCAGCCAGACUGGAACUGGUAGACGGUCCAGACUCCUACGGUACGCAGCAGUGGGGAAUAUUGCACAAUGGGCUGAAGCCUUAGUCAGCCAUGCCGCGUGUGUGAAGAAGGCCUGCGGGUUGUAAAGCACUUUCAGCUAGGAGGCGUUACUCACAGAAGAAGCACGGGCUAACUCCGUGCCAGCAGCCGCGGUAAUAC